rnacentral:rRNA from 1 species
CAGUCGCCGCGGUAACACGUAGGUGGCAAGCGUUGUCCGGAAUUAUUGGGCGUAAAGGGCUCGCAGGCGGUUUCUUAAGUCUGAUGUGAAAGCCCCCGGCUCAACCGGGGAGGGUCAUUGGAAACUGGGAAACUUGAGUGCAGAAGAGGAGAGUGGAAUUCCACGUGUAGCGGUGAAAUGCGUAGAGAUGUGGAGGAACACCAGUGGCGAAGGCGGUUCUCUGGUCUGUAACUGACGCUGAGGAGCGAAAGCGUGGGGAGCGAACAGGAUUAGAUACCCCAGUAGUCCCUGUCUCUUAUAC